AAAAGGACUUCGGUUUGCUUCGGGAUGGACUCGCGUCCAAUUAGCUAGUUGGUGAGGUAACGGCCCACCAAGGCGACGAUCGGUAGCCGGACUGAGAGGUUGAACGGCCACAUUGGGACUGAGACACGGCCCAGACUCCUACGGGAGGCAGCAGUGGGGAAUAUUGCACAAUGGGCGCAAGCCUGAUGCAGCCAUGCCGCGUGUAUGAAGAAGGCCUUCGGGUUGUAAAGUUCUUUCGGUAGCGAGGAAGGCAUUUAGUUUAAUAGACUAGGUGAUUGACGUUAACUACAGAAGAAGCACCGGCUAACUCCGUGCCAGCAGCCGCGGUAAUACGGAGGGUGCAAGCGUUGUCCGGAUUUAUUGGGUUUAAAGGGUACGUAGGCGGGUCUUUAAGUCCGUGGUGAAAGCCUGCAGCUUAACUGUAGAACUGCCAUGGAUACUGGAGAUCUUGAAUUCAGUUGAGGUAAGCGGAAUUUAUGAUGUAGCGGUGAAAUGCAUAGAUAUGACGCAGAACGC
rnacentral:rRNA from 1 species